rnacentral:lncRNA from 1 species
UUUCAGUUUUAAGCACAUGGCUUUAAAGGGGACUUUCCAGGAAGAGUUGAUGCCUGGAACAGCCCCAGAGCACGGAGCAAACCCAGCGGAAUUCAAAUGGCUACAGCUGGCGAGCAACGCGCUUGAGAUCCUGGAUUGUCCACACAGUUGCCAGCUGCUGGAACCAGCCAGGGGCCCAUCAGGGCACGUGGUCCAGGCAUGAAUUCAGAUGAUUUCAACCCCACCGUGUUGAGAAACUGCACAGGAACUUCCAUAUGCCGAGGGUGUGGCUGUGAAAAUAAAUAAAGAAAAAAAGAGUCAUUCUGCACAACACUGAGAUUCAACAGAUGAGCAGGACAUGCAAGAAAACGAGGAAUGGAUCAGUCAAAAGCCAUGCUUGAGGGUUGUCAGCCCAGCCCAGGAGUUGCGAUGGGGGUGCUAGUCAACCCCUAGUACCAUGAAAGAUGAUACAUGUCAUUGUUUUGUGUCACUACAUAAUAGAUAACUGGGACAAUCUUCUUUCCCUGAUCUGCUUUCUUCUCAUAUCUCCUGUCUUAAUUAAUGCUUUUAUCCUCAAUCUGGAAUGUCCACACAGCUGCCAGCAGCUGGAACCAAGCAGGUGACCAUCAGAUCAGAGACUCAGAACCUUAUACAGACCAAACCCUGAGGUUUGUGAAAGCA